UACGUAGGCAGCGAGCGUUGUUCGGAGUUACUGGGCGUAAAGGGUGCGUAGGUGGCGUGGUAAGUCGGGUGUGAAAACCCGCGGCUUAACCGCGGGCUUGCAGUCGAUACGGGCAGGCUAGAGUUCGGUAGGGGAGACUGGAAUUCCUGGUGUAGCGGUGAAAUGCGCAGAUAUCAGGAGGAACACCGGUGGCGAAGGCGGGUCUCUGGGCCGAUACUGACGCUGAGGAGCGAAAGCGUGGGGAGCGAACAGG
rnacentral:rRNA from 1 species